AUUGAACGCUGGCGGCAUGCCUUACACAUGCAAGUCGAACGGUAACAGGUCUUCGGAUGCUGACGAGUGGCGAACGGGUGAGUAAUACAUCGGAACGUGCCUAGUAGUGGGGGAUAACUACUCGAAAGAGUGGCUAAUACCGCAUGAGAUCUACGGAUGAAAGCAGGGGAUCGCAAGACCUUGUGCUACUAGAGCGGCCGAUGGCAGAUUAGGUAGUUGGUGGGAUAAAAGCUUACCAAGCCGACGAUCUGUAGCUGGUCUGAGAGGACGAUCAGCCACACUGGAGCUGAGACACGGCCCAGACUCCUACGGGAGGCAGCAGUGGGGAAAUUUGGACAAUGGGCGCAAGCCUGAUCCAGCAAUGCCGCGUGCAGGAUGAAGGCCUUCGGGUUGUAAACUGCUUUUGUACGGAACGAAAAGCCCCGGGUUAAUACCCUGGGGUCAUGACGGUACCGUAAGAAUAAGCACCGGCUAACUACGUGCCAGCCGCCGCGGUAA
rnacentral:rRNA from 1 species